rnacentral:lncRNA from 1 species
GAAGAAAAAAAAUAAAAGUGUCUAGGUAGAAAAAAUGGCUAGUUUUGUUUGAUGUGAUAUAAUAACAAUAAGUUGACAAUCACCAAUAUAAUAAAUAUUAAAAUAAAAGAAAAAUAAACAAACAUGAAAGCGCAGGGAUUCGAAUGGAAUAAGAGCUAAUCUCUUCAAUCUCCUGUUACUCAUGGAUCAACAAACAGGCAUUAGCAUAAUAUAUUGAGAAAUACAAGGCACCUGAAAUUUUCGGGGGCUGGAAUAUCCUUCCCAAGGAAAGAGUACACUCGAUUCCCUUAUGAAGAUUUGUAGUUUUCCUCGGAUGGAUUUUCAUUCCCUCGUCCCUUGUGGGAUUCUGAAUCCCAACAUCUCUUGAGAUGGAUGAUCAAGUUAGAAGUAUCUUCCAUGAAUCCCCUUUGACCUUCUUUUGGCCCAACUCUUGAAGAGCAUAGAAGUCCACUUCUUCCGGUCUUAAUGAUCCCAGGCCUUUGCAAUUGCCAAAUUAAAAGAACAUCUAAAUAUCAAAUUUGUCUCUCUUGGAAUGAUUCAAUUGUUGCAAUGCGUUGUUUUUUAUAUACUUUAGUUUUAUGCAUAUCCUACUCAAUAUAUUACAUCUGAAUCUCAAAGUGAAAUGAUCCCGCCAUAGUUUCAACCCUUGAAUAUAUUCAUUGCUGUAUUGAGAUGAAUAGAUUCCUACCCUUGGAAGGAAUUCACUCUACUCUUGUAUGAAGAUUAGCUUAGUUAUGUUAGCUUCUCAGGAUAAAUGUUUAUCCCCGCAUAUAUCAAAAAUUGAGCAUCUCUUGUUGAGGAUAAAGUAUCUCGUAUAUCUUCUUUUGUCCUAAUUCUUAGAGAACAUGGAAGUAUUCCUAUCUUUAAUGAAUGAAGAUCGAUCUAAGCAAAUGAAAACCACAUCUAAAUUAAAAAUGUUUGAUAUGUUUCAACAUUAAGAUAAUAAAUAGUGUUGUUAUAAUGCUAAGUAAACAUA